rnacentral:rRNA from 1 species
UACGUAGGGGCCGAGCGUUGUCCGGAAUUAUUGGGCGUAAAGGGCUCGUAGGCGGUUUGUUGCGUCGGGAGUGAAAACUUCGAGCUUAACUCGGAGCUUGCUUUCGAUACGGGCAGACUUGAGGCAUUCAGGGGAGAACGGAAUUUCUGGUGUAGCGGUGAAAUGCGCAGAUAUCAGAAGGAACACCGGUGGCGAAGGCGGUUCUCUGGGAAUGUUCUGACGCUGAGGAGCGAAAGUGUGGGGAGCGAACAGG